GCACCUGUAACUCAGUGGAUAGAGUACUCGGCUACGAACCGAACGGUCGGAGGUUCGAAUCCUCCCAGGUGUA
rnacentral:tRNA from 1 species